rnacentral:rRNA from 1 species
GAUCAUGGCUCAGGAUGAACGCUAGCUACAGGCUUAACACAUGCAAGUCGAGGGGCAGCAUGAACUUAGCUUGCUAAGUUUGAUGGCGACCGGCGCACGGGUGAGUAACGCGUAUCCAACCUGCCCUUUACUCGGGAAUAGCCUUCUGAAAGAAAGUUUAAUACCCGAUGAAUUCGUUUAGUCGCAUGGCUUGAUGAAGAAAGAUUUAUCAGUAAAGGAUGGGGAUGCGUCCCAUUAG